GUGGGGUACGGAGAUAUAUACCCCUCAACUCCAUGGGGAAAGUUGGUUGGUUCUCUUUGCAGUAUUUGCGGAGUGCUGGUCAUCGCUCUACCUAUCCCGAUCAUCGUUAACAAC
rfam:Helobdella robusta unplaced genomic scaffold HELROscaffold_7, whole genome shotgun sequence.